CCACGGAGGCAGCAGUGGGGAAUAUUGGGCAAUGGGCGCAAGCCUGACCCAGCAACGCCGCGUGAAGGAAGAAGGCUUUCGGGUUGUAAACUUCUUUUAAGAGGGAAGAGCAGAGGACGGUACCUCUUAAAUAAGCCACGGCUAACUACGUGCCAGCAGCCGCGGUAAUACGUAGGUGGCAAGCGUUGUCCGGAUUUACUGGGUGUAAAGGGCGUGCAGCCGGGAAGACAAGUCAGAUGUGAAAUCCCGCGGCUCAACCGCGGAACUGCAUUUGAAGCUGUUUUUCUUGAGUACCGGAGAGGGCA
rnacentral:rRNA from 1 species